CAGCAGCCGCGGUAAUACGUAGGUGGCAAGCGUUGUCCGGAAUUAUUGGGCGUAAAGGGCUCGCAGGCGGUUUCUUAAGUCUGAUGUGAAAGCCCCCGGCUCAACCGGGGAGGGUCAUUGGAAACUGGGAAACUUGAGUGCAGAAGAGGAGAGUGGAAUUCCACGUGUAGCGGUGAAAUGCGUAGAGAUGUGGAGGAACACCAGUGGCGAAGGCGACUCUCUGGUCUGUAACUGACGCUGAGGCUCGAAAGCGUGGGGAGCAAACCGGAUUAGAUACCCGUGUAGUCCCUGUCUCUUAUAC
rnacentral:rRNA from 1 species